rnacentral:lncRNA from 1 species
AUUUGAUUUGGCUCUCCCCAGAUUGUAACAAUUGUGGAAGAGGCAUGAAGAAAGAGAACUUCAUGCUUGCAAAACAAAGUGAGGGACAUCAUCUGUCAAUCAAGGUGAAGAUUCCAAAUGGAAUGUUCCCAGGAAAGGCAGUUGGAGCCUGGCCAGAGGAAAUGAACUGCGAGACUUCUUCUCUGGGGUUCUGGAUUUGGCUCUCCCCAGAUUGUAACAAUGAAGGUACUUAGCUCUUCCUUUAUUGUGAAGAUUAAAUUGUAAUCCCAUGACUACUUUUAUAUUUUAAUCCCUAAAGUGUAAACCCAGUACUUAAAGCAGAUCUACCCAUUUUAACCACAAAAAAGUAUGAACUAACCACAAAAGGUGUAAACUAACCACAAAAAGGUAUUAAAUACUCAUUUCAUACAUUGAGUGGGAAGUCUGUGACCCAUGUGUGAAAGAGUGGACAGUCCUGGAGAGGAGCAUCUGCUGUGAUUGGUAGACAUAAAAUUUAGGGGAGGUAACACAAGAGAAAAAGGUCUUUAAAUAGUGGAAACAGAGACACAAAGAAAUACUGGGGCACUUGGAGUUGGAUUGGAAGAUGAUCAGUCACUCGAACUGGACUGGAAGAUAGACUUUCUGGAUGGAGUAAAGAGAAAGAGUAAAGAGAGACUCUUGGACUUGGAGUGAAAGAGGCAGUCACUUGGGCUUGGAGUGAAGAGAGUCACUCAGAGUUGGAGUGGAGAGAGACACUUGAGGGGAGACUGGAAGACAGACACUCAGACUUGGAGUGAAGACACUUGGCUGUGGAACUGGACCCCUGGAGGAGCACACGCAGGAGACCUCAGACUGCUUUCCUGUUAGAUGGUUAUUUUGCGGAGAUGUGGCUGGUGGCAGCAUGCUGGGCAUCUUGGCAUUUUGGCGUUCUUGCAGCUCUUGUCCAGGAUUGGUGUGAGCAUGCUAGGGAUAGGUUUUGGCCUGAUGAGAACCCCCUGCCAGGAAAGCCCUCCUAUUGUCAUCAAAGGAAUGAGUAAAAACAAUCAUCAUAGAACCCGAAGAGGUGAGCUCCCCAGGUUUGGACCACUUCAAACCCUAGAGCUGGGCAUAGGACAAAAGAUGGACAAAACCAAGAUUGUCCUCCACUAGAGGAAACAAAUGAUCUGUAAUUCUCUGUCUCAGUGGCCAGGGGGUAAACCAACCAAGACACAGAGCAGCUUACUCUCAUCCCCCUUCAGAAGCCAAGUGAUUCCAUGGAGAGGUGAGUACAUUAAGAUCUGGAGAUGGGGGCAGAAAUCUUCUCUUCUAAAUGGGG